CACGUUUCCAUAAUUUGGUAAUCAAAAUAUGUAACUUAAUUAAUUAUAUUGUGACAUACUUUUGCCUUUUCUUAUUAUUCUGCCUUCUCAGAAAGGGAAAAAAAUACAAAUAAAAUUGUUUACACUUGUUAUAUACAAUAACUAUCAAAACCUAUUCACAUUUAAUUUGGCUUUCACAGAAAUCCCACCUGUCCUUCUGGCUACAGAGGACUUACCAAGGUUAGAAACAAAGCACAGUUAUGCUUUAUUAAUGUUCGCUAAUUACAAUGUUCCACAUUUCCUUGCUUUUUAAGUCAUUUUUAGGCUUUUUAGAGUUGUUGUUUUUGUUUUUUUAGCAGUAAUGUUUCUGCCUAUUUUUUUCAGCCCAUGAAAUCGAAUGCAGAUCUUCCUGAUGUGAGAUUUACAUAAAUGUAAGUAAUUUUGUUUGUCAUUGUCAUUAAUGUUGUUGCUGUUGUUGUUUUUGUGAAGUUUGCAAUAUAAACCUAGCAAGCAUCAGUCAGCACAGUGACUAACCUAAACAGAUUCUUGCUUUAUUCACAUAUAUUAUAUGUAAUUAUAUAUACCUGCACAUUGUACCUAGGGUUGCAGCCACUUGGCCCCACCCCAUUGUUGUGACAGCCCUGAUUGUACACUGCAUCUGAACAGGGAACAGUCUGCCACAUUAAUGUAUUUUUAAGUGACUUGUUUGUAAUACAUGAAUUUGCUUCUUACAGAUGUCAAAGUCUCAACCUCAUGCUGCCCUCCCCCAUCCUCCUAAACCUGUGGAUACAAAUGCAGAUUUCCUUAAUGUAAGUUGUGCAUUUUCAUUACAUCAUGUUAUUUUUAUUAUUAUUUAUUUAUUUUAUUUUACAUUCAAAUAUUUCAAGCUUCUUGGUUAAAGAAGCUUGAUUGCUAGUAGGUAAAGAAUAGUUCACCUAUAAUUGAUAUUCCCAAUUAAUUUCUCACCUCUGAUUGAAUGCCUUUGUUUGUUUGCCUUUUUUUACUAUAACAAAACAUUUUUGCAGGAUAUAUAUGGUGAAUUUAUAUGCAUAGAUACAGUCGUAGUGCUUGACACAUGCACACAGCAGUAGAUGUACUAAAAAGGAAAUAGUUACAAUCAUGAUGUUGAUUGCUGAUGUCAGUAUAUAUAUUUUAGAGGAAUGUUUUGUUUUUCACCCAAAAUGAACUAUAUUGCUUCAGAAGAGAUUUAUUACCCUACCUGACUCUUAUAUAUUGUUUUUUGUUUGUUUUUGUUAUUUUCAGGUUCAAUGGUGCGUGUUCUUCUAAUGGCCGCCUUCCCACUGGAGGUUUUGAUCCACAGCAAUUUAAAAGGUAAACAGCUUUGAAAGUCAGUUCAAAUGGUUAGCUAAUAGUAUUCUAAAAAGCCUACUUCUCUGUCACCAGUUUCUUUACCAAAAAGUACCCAUAAAAGUAUCUCUCAAUAGCAUAUCAUUGUAGUUCAAAUGUUUAGUUGUACAAAUAUCAGAUUUUUGGAAAUCUAAAACUAGUCAAACACUCAAAUGUUUAUGCCUUUUAUAGGAGGACAGAGCAAAACGGACAUCGGCACAGAGUGAAGAACUGCCCUUCACAAGGACACUAUGACAGCCAUAUAUAGUAAGUGAAGACUUUCUGUGUAUCUAAAAUUGCAUACAGCACAAGUAACUUACUGUUAGCGCCAUUUAUAGUUAUUACAUGUUUUAUUUUGAAAAGCCUGAAAAAGAUGUGGUGCUUUUGUUGUGAAAGGUUUUGUGAGAAAUAAAACAAGCGAAUGGCGGAGCGACACGAUGGUUUUACUUAAUGUAAUGGCUAUGUUGUUUCUUCUUGGAGUUCUCUAUUUUUCUUAUAUCUAAAAUAAGAGUCUGGAUGGACAAGAGGCUGUUUUACGCGUCGUUGUUGUACAAACCGACGCGUAAAACAGCCUCUUGUCCAUCCAGACUCUUAUUUUAGAUAUAAGAAAAAUAGAGAACUCCAAGAAGAAACAAGAUAGCCAUUACACUUGCUUUGCAACCAUUAAAAUAGGUUGUAAAGUAAGUUACCAAUACAAAUAGGUGAUGAUGCAUUGUGGUGGGUGGUCUCAGACAAAGAAGGUCAACAGAUUUAUGAAUGCUGGAGGGUAAGGAGAGACGACCAAAAGGGGUGUUAGCAUUACUGUAAUGUGAACUGGAUAGACUUUCAAUCAAGGAAAAAAAAAAGAGGUAAAAUUAUGCGUAAAAUAUAUCUGUAUUAAUAUCUGUAUCUAUAUAAACAGAAAUAUCUGUUUGCUAAAUGAAGCCAGCUAACAUAAAUCAUAUUUUUAUUUUAACUCUGAUAAAAGUAAUAGAACUGUGACUUUUGUUUGUUACAGUGGCAGUAAGGAAGAGGUUUCCCAAUGUGUCCAGAAGGGCUUUGAGGAUUGCAGUGAAAGCUGGGGGAACUGAGACUGCUGGAAAAGGAAAAGAAAUUACAUUUUAAGUAUGUUGACUUAUGUUAAUACAAUCACACACAAAAUAUACACAUACACACACACACACACAUAUAUGUAUGUAUAUAUAUAUAUAUAUAUAUAUAUAUAUGUAUAUAUGUGUGUGUGUGUGUGUGUGUGUUUCUUUUAGAAUGUUUAAGUAUGUAAUGAGAAUAAAAUUAUAAAAUUAAUAUUCUUUGCUUGAUUGAUAUGCUAUAUGUAUGUUUUAAACAUCAAAUAAAGAUUUCUUUCAGCUGUUACAUGUGAAUGUGUUUUCUUAGAAAUAUAUGAAGGGUUAAAUUGAU
ensembl:lncRNA